UUUUGGAAAGCAUUACUAAAUUUAUUUUCCAAGUUUAAAUUUGAAAUGCAUGACUGACUAUUUAAGUACGAUGAUCCAGCAGUUCGAAAUAAUAGCGGGCAUGUGUCCGGCCAUUACUGUGAAAUCACCGCCCAGUUUUGUGCACCCGUAUUUAUAAACAAUGCGAACUUGAAAUUUCGACGCAGACUUCAAGGCACCUAACGGCAAACGGUCCCAGCACAGUUGCCAUCAUAGUACAUAGUUGCUGCUAUUAAUAUGCAAUAAUUGCGCAAGGUGUCAUUUACGUGCCAAACUUGCCGGGUAUUUUCUACCGAGAUUUUGCCUACGUAAGGGGCACAUGUCUUAUAUAAAACUUUAUUUUUACAUAGCCCAACUAUUUCUUUUAAUUCAAUACAAUUUAGUGUAAUAGUUUGUUGUAUUACCAUUUUAUGGGAUGCAUUUUUAUGCACAUGCGCGUGCCUAUAGGUACCUGUUCCUGGUAUUGAAUUUCCCAACAGCUGGAAAUAAUCGAACGCAGUCGCCAGCUGAUCUCUUGAAAUAGCGGUCCUGCUGCUCUGCUCCACUCCGCGCACUUCUUCCUAUCAUCAAAAAGCAGUGGGAUAUUCGCUUACUGGCAAGAUAUUAAGUUUUUCUUGUCGAAAAGUUGGUGUUAGUUGUGAUGACUGUGAACCCCACAAAUUUAGUGUUAAAUAUUGUUUUAUAUUAUGAAGUAUUAGAUAAGAAAAUAAAACUAUUUCCGGGCAUACAAUCAUCUAUAUAAUGGACGGGAACAUAAUAUAGAUGAUUCGUUUAGAUGACCAUUAUGACAACGAAGCUUGUUGGCCAGGAUUCUAAGCAUUAGAGCACAUUCGAUUUAGAACACGUAUACGACGACGACGACUACUAUGAAGGAAGUGGGAGCCAUCUACCGACCGCUGUUGCAUAACUGCAUCGUCCGAGAUGACCCAAAAAAAACCAGGACGUCGCACCAUUAUGAAGCCACCAGUCGAAGACGAAGGGAUUAAAUCCAAAUAAGACGAUAAAGUGGUUUCAAACGAAUCAUGAUACAAGAAGUUAAGUUUUACCAAGUGCCAAAGCGUUCAAUAUUAAACGGAAAUAUAGCUCAAUCUUGAGUGAAUCUGUGUACUUUGUGCGUGUGUGGUGUGCUUUGAAUGAAAUAUGGGAGGUGGUGGUCGUCUCCUUUCCGUAAUUCCGGAGUAGGCAUUUUUCGCCGGAACAUCGAAGUCCUGGGAUGCGUACCAGAUGCGCGUUUACAACGCUCUUUACGGAAUCCUGUAAAUGCACUAUCUGGUACGACACUCCAGGAUCUGUUUCGUCUUCGCACGCAGCUCUGUUAUUCUUUUCUUUUUCCGCCUGCAUCAACUUCAUAUACACCCACCACACCAAUCGCUUUACACUUCAUCUUACUUUUCUUCUUUUUAGUUAUUGUUAAUAAUAUUCUAUUGAUGUUGUUUACAAAGUUGCAUGACUAGAAUAAAGAUAAAAUCAUUUUAAGUAUUGUAUGGUCAUUUAAAUAUCAAUCAAAAAUAUUAUAAAAAUGUAUUAUAAAGCGGCUAUUGUAAAAUGGUAUUAAUAAUAAAUGUUUGUUA